AUCACUUUCCAUUCAAUCGGAUUUUUUUUGUUUUUGUUUUUAUCUCUGGAUCACUUUCACAGUAUGUUUGUUGUACUCUUUUCAAAUAAAACUCUUUCCAAAUAAAAUAGGAAACCUGGAGACGUAGACAUGACACAAACUUGACAACAAGAACCACACAGACAUGAAACAUGACAGAUGAUAUUGUCACACCUAACCAAUGAGUCACCCGUCGCAGAAAAAAGCUCCCAUGAAAUCUAAACAGCAUCAAGAUCUGGCUACAGAGUGAAUUUGCUUGAAAGAAACCACUGCACACUGUGCCACCAUUGUAGAAAAGUGAGAGCAUAUUUACCUGCAGAGGAGUGGCAGCAGGAGGAGAGCAGGAGGAGAGUGAUGGAGAGGAUCUUCACAGACAUUUUCACUGGUGUUCUGGCUCACUGAUCAGGCUGAAAGUAUAUGAGUUCAUUUGUGUUUGGCUGUUUAUUGGUAAGUGCAGGGACAUUUACAGGCAUAGCUGAUGACGUGUUUUAAUAGCUCUUUGUGUGUGCAUGAUGUGGCAUAUCAUACCUCCGCCCCUUAUCAGGGAAACUUCAGUAUUUCAACCUAUCAACACCUCACUGAGUGCUUACAGAGAAACACAUACACAAAGUUUACAGACACUUAAAUAUAGUGAACAAAACAGUUUGUGUAUUCUCCGAAAACUAGCUUUACUUUGUUGUUUGGGUCAACUUUGCUACCGAGAAACAAAGAGAGGCGUUGAAGGGCUGCUCCUACGGAACUUAUUGUUUCGGAGGAAAACACAAACACAGUGUAGGAUAGCGAUACAGCUUUUUGAUGAAAACAGACAUGGAGAUUACUUUUACUUUUAUCGCACAAAACACAUGAGUAUGAGGGAAAAGUGCAAACUACAUCCAGGAGAGAAACAACCACAAUAUA